rnacentral:tRNA from 1 species
GGGGAUUUAGCUUACAGCAAAAGCGCCUGCCUUGCAAGCAGGCAGUCAUGAGUUUGAUCCCCG